rnacentral:rRNA from 1 species
UGGUGGAGUGAUUUGUAUGGUUAAUUCCGUUAACAAAUGAGACCCAUGCCUGCUAACUAGGUGACAGAGUGAAUUUUCACUUUUGAAUCUUCUUAGAGGGAUGUGCAUUUUUUAGUAUGCAGGAGGAUAGGGGAAAGUAACA